rnacentral:rRNA from 1 species
AUGCGGCGGAGCGGAGUACGCGAGGCGCAGCGGCUGAGCGGCAUACCGGUGGUCCUGUUUCCCAGGUCCAAAUCAGCGCCGGAGGGGGUGCCGACGGCGCAGCUUCUGAAUGCCCUCAGGGAUCUCAGGGUGGACUUCGUUCUGCUCGCUGGUUACCUGAAGCUUAUACCUGGCGAGCUAGUCCAGGCAUAUCCCAGAUCCAUACUGAAUAUACACCCUUCGCUCCUCCCGGCAUUCGGAGGCAAGGGUUAUUAUGGUUUGAAGGUGCAUAAAGCCGUCAUUGCGUCUGGAGCCAGAUAUUCAGGGCCAACUGUGCACUUUGUGGAUGAACAGUUCGACACGGGAAGAACUUUAGCCCAAAGGGUUGUGCCUGUGCUAGCUGAUGAUACUCCAGAGCAAUUGGCUGCAAGGGUUCUACAUGAGGAGCAUCAUGUCUAUGUCGACGCAGUUGCUGCCUUGUGUGAGGAUCGAAUCGUGUGGCGAGAAGACGGUGUCCCACUUAUCAGAACUCAGACAAACCCUGAUGCAUACGCCUAA